rnacentral:tRNA from 1 species
GAGGGUGGAGCUCAGUGGUAGAGUGUGUGCUUAGCUUGUACGGGGUCCGGGUUCAAACCCCAGCACCUCCA